UACGUAGGGGGCGAGCGUUGUCCGGAUUUAUUGGGCGUAAAGAGCGUGUAGGCGGCCAGGUAGGUCUGCUGUGAAAACUCGAGGCUCAACCUCGAGACGUCGGCGGAAACCAUCUGGCUAGAGUCCGGAAGAGGAGAGUGGAAUUCCUGGUGUAGCGGUGAAAUGCGCAGAUAUCAGGAGGAACACCGGUGGCGAAGGCGGGUCUCUGGGCCGAUACUGACGCUGAGGAGCGAAGGCGUGGGGAGCGAACAGG
rnacentral:rRNA from 1 species